rnacentral:rRNA from 1 species
GACGAACGCUGGCGGCGUGCUUAACACAUGCAAGUCGAACGGAAAGGCCCUGCUUUUGUGGGGUGCUCGAGUGGCUAACGGGUGAGUAACACGUGAGUAACCUGCCCUUGACUUUGGGAUAACUUCAGGAAACUGGGGCUAAUACCGGAUAGGAGCUCCUGCUGCAUGGUGGGGGUUGGAAAGUUUCGGCGGUUGGGGAUGGACUCGCGGCUUAUCAGCUUGUUGGUGGGGUAGUGGCUUACCAAGGCUUUGACGGGUAGCCGGCCUGAGAGGGUGACCGGCAACAUUGGGACUGAGAUACGGCCCAGACUCCUACGGGAGGCAGCAGUGGGGAAUAUUGCACAAUGGGCGGAAGCCUGAUGCAGCAACGCAGCGUGCGGGAUGACGGCAUUCGGGUUGUAAACCGCUUUCGCCUGUGACGAAGCGUGAGUGACGGUAAUGGGUAAAGAAGCACCGGCUAACUACGUG